rnacentral:lncRNA from 1 species
AUGCUUUCCUUUAGGAUGUUAAGAGACUGGGUUGGCCCUGUGACAAAAACUUUUCAAAGUCAAACUGAAUUUAGCCUUAGAGUGGUGCAAGUUUUCAUCUUAAAUUAUUUUGCAUUUUUUAUAUUCAUACUUUUAGAGUCUUCAAAAUUUCUCCAGCCCAUCUCCACUGAUCACCACCAACAAGAGGGUGUAAGUUACUUGAUGUGGAACCUUCUCAAAAGAAGAUGCUUCAGAGAUGGACUGGAAAUGCCUUGAUAUUAUUUACCACGAAAAUGAUGUAGCUAUGGGUAUGUACAUUUUUCUCAGGAAAUUGUGUGUAGCCUUUAUGUGAUUUUCAAAUCAUGCCAAGGACCACAUCUUGGUUAUAACCUCCAUGACACCUUCUAUUUCCAUGGCAUCCACUGCCAACUCACUCCCCAUCCUGUGCUGUGUUCUUGCUCAGGUCAACUGACACAUUGUUCUUGACCCAGGUUCUUGGAGGAUCUGUCUGUGUCUUUUCCUUCUAUAAUCAGUUAUAUACCAACUUCUUCCAAAAAUGGGAUUCACACACUAAUUGGCUUAUCACUAUUUUAUCUUAGAUUCCUGACGUCUAUUUCUUGUCAUCCUGCUCUAACCUGCAUAAUAUAUCCAGAAAUACGUGUGGAUAUAUGAUAAGAGCUUCAACUUGCUCAUAUCACUCUCCAACUUAAUUUUCUUCAAUACAUUCUUUCUCUUCUCCCAACAAGGUUAAAUUCCAAGUGAGAAAUCACUUGGUUUGUGAAAGCCUUCAAAAGGAUUCCUCGUACUUAUAUCAUUCUCCCUUGAUUUAUCAGCAAUGUGGACACUUUUCAGACUCCAGUUGAACGAUGUUGCUGUUUUCUCACUCUGGAAGAAGCCCUCUCUCUUACACAGAGAUGACUCCUAAAUCUCUUCCAGGGCCCAGCUUGCCCACUUGGCUGUCAGUGAAGUUCUCCCUGGCCUCAAGGAGAGGCUAGCUAAUCUCUGCUUUCAUCCUGAACCUGUUGUUGCCCUGAGGACCACUCUGCAUCUUAGCUUUGUUCUUCUGAACUGCCUGCCUUACUGUGUGAGAAGUCAUGGAGUCAGAUGCAACUUUCUUAUCUGAACAUCUUCAAGGUCAGUGCUUCAGGAACUGCUUUUUGGGGACACAUCGUCCUAACUUCACCUGGGUCAAACAAACAAAUCAGCCUCUUUAGAUUCCUUUUUGAGUGGCCUUCCAGUGCUGAGGUUAAAACCUUGAAUUUCCCAGUAUGGUACAUCUUACACUAAUAUAUGUCACACAUACUCUGUGUGGUAGUGUAUGUUACCUGCUAGGAUCUAUUUGUAAUGUACGUUUCCAGCCUGGAUCUAUUUGAAGCAAGAUGAGCACCAUGUAGAGGCGUAUUAUGUAUUUCCU